AUGGAGGACAAUUUCCACCUGUUUGUACGAUUCCCACUGGCUCAAGAGUUAUACCGUGCCUUAUCUUCAGUUUGGAACCUCCCUAGUCUGAAUGGUAUUUUAAACACUGGGCGAGAGUGGCUUCUUCAGAUCCUUGAGCCUCUUGAUGAUAUUCAGAAAUGUAUGCUUUUGAUGACAUUUUGGAGGAGCUGGUAUGUGAGGAAUGAAUUAGUACAUAACAAACCUGCACCUCCGGUGGUGGUGUCCUGCAGAUUUCUUCAGAGUUAUCUUGACUCCUUGAUUGGGAUUAAGCUGAACUCCAACACUGAUCCGCACAAAGGAAAAGCAGUAAUGACAUAUUAUGCUCCCGGCAACUCAAACAGCGAGUCCGUGGACGAAGCAACGACGGGGUGGUGUACUCCUGCAAGUGGCUGGGUAAAACUAAAUUCUGACAGAGCUUUUGUCUCGGAGGGGGAGGCUGGUGCAGGGGUGAUGUUGAGAGAUGAGUUGGGAACUAUCAUCUUCUCAGCUUGUAGGAAGUUGUACUCUUGUCGGGACGCGCUUGAAGCAGAACUUUGCGCAUGUAUGCAAGGACUCUCGCUGGCUCUACAGAUGAGUGAUCUGCCUAUCAAUAUCGGGUUGGAUUCUUCCAUUGCAGUCUCGCUCAUACAGUGCAAAGGGGAGGAUAGAUCUAUUUAUGCGUCUAUUGUUAGAGAAAUUAAGUACCUUAAAGGUCUUCGUUUAUUUGUAUUGCUCAUGUUUCUCGCUGUCAGAAUAAAGCUAGUGAUAGUUUGGCUAGAUUUGCUAGAACUGAGAAUAGGACCAUGA
rnacentral:rRNA from 1 species